rnacentral:rRNA from 1 species
AACGAACGCUGGCGGCAGGCUUAACACAUGCAAGUCGAACGGGUGUCGCAAGGCAUCAGUGGCAGACGGGUGAGUAACACGUGGGAACCUUCCUAGGGGUACGGAACAACUCAGGGAAACUUGAGCUAAUACCGUAUACGUCCGUAAGGAGAAAGAUUCAUCGCCCCUAGACGGGCCCGCGUCGGAUUAGGUAGUUGGUGGGGUAACGGCCUACCAAGCCUGCGAUCCGUAGCUGAUCUGAGAGGAUGAUCAGCCACACUGGGACUGAGACACGGCCCAGACUCCUACGGGAGGCAGCAGUGGGGAAUCUUGGACAAUGGGCGCAAGCCUGAUCCAGCCAUGCCGCGUGAGUGAAGAAGGCCUUAGGGUUGUAAAGCUCUUUUACCAGGGACGAUAAUGACGGUACCUGGAGAAU